rnacentral:rRNA from 1 species
CCCUUAGAUGUUCUGGGCUGCACGCGCGCUACACUGACGUACGCAACGAGUGUCCUUUACCGAGAGGUAUGGGUAAUCAUUUGAGUGUACGUCGUGAUGGGGAUAGAAUAUUGUAAUUAUUACUCUUCAACGAGGAAUUCCUAGUAAGCGCAAGUCAGCAGCUUGCGCUGAUUACGUCCCUGCCCUUUGUACACACCGCCCGUCGCUCCUACCGAUGGGUGAUCUGGUGAAUGAUUCGGACUCGGUUGCCUCUAGCCACUAGUGGCGCUCGAGAAAGUUUUGUGAACCUUAUCACUUGGAGGAAGGAGAAGUCGUAACA